GACGGAGCAGCCGAAAACCGAUCAGAGUAGGCA
rnacentral:ncRNA from 1 species